ACGCUCGACACCUACGGGAGGAGCAGUAGGGAAUCUUCCACAAUGGACGCAAGUCUGAUGGAGCAACGCCGCGUGAGUGAAGAAGGUCUUCGGAUCGUAAAACUCUGUUGUUAGAGAAGAACACGAGUGAGAGUAACUGUUCAUUCGAUGACGGUAUCUAACCAGCAAGUCACGGCUAACUACGUGCCANCACGCCGGUACGGUAACUCGUAGGACGGGCGGGUCGUCGGACGAAGGC
rnacentral:rRNA from 1 species